CACGUAGGGGGCGAGCGUUGUCCGGAUUUAUUGGGCGUAAAGAGCUCGUAGGCGGCUCAGUAAGUCAGGUGUGAAAACUCCAGGCUCAACCUGGAGACGCCACUUGAUACUGCUGUGGCUAGAGUCCGGUAGGGGAGCAUGGAAUUCCUGGUGUAGCAGUGGAAUGCGCAGAUAUCAGGAGGAACACCGAUGGCGAAGGCAGUUCUCUGGGCCGUAACUGACGCUGAGGAGCGAAAGCGUGGGGAGCGAACAGG
rnacentral:rRNA from 1 species